rnacentral:rRNA from 1 species
UACGUAGGGUGCAAGCGUUGUCCGGAAUUAUUGGGCGUAAAGAGCUCGUAGGCGGCUUGUCGCGUCGCUGUGAAAACCUGGGGCUCAACCCCGGGCCUGCAGCCGAUACGGGCAAGCUAGAAUUCGGUAGGGGAGACUGGAAUUCCGGGUGUAGCGGUGGAAUGCGUAGAGAUCCGGAAGAACACCGGUGGCGAAGGCGGCCUGCUGGGCAGUUGCUGACACUGAGGCGCGACAGCGUGGGGAGCGAACAGG